rnacentral:lncRNA from 1 species
CUCCAUCUAUGCCCUGGUCUAUGAGUCCAGGAAAACCAGCUCCUUUCUGUUUGACAUUUUAAGAUUUCCGCAGUUGGGAGAUUAAAAUCAUUUGGCAUUUCAGUUACAUACGUAGAGCUUUUCUGUCCUUUCCUUCCCUCCUCCUUCCUUCCCUCCUUCUUAGUGCUAUUCUAUCAUUUCUUAUUUUCUUUUUUUUGUUUUUUUUGGUACCGGGGAUCGAACUCAGGACCUUGCGCUCGCGAGGCAGGCGGCGGAACCACUGAGCUAAAUCCCCGGCCCCGUGCUAUUCUAUAAUUUCUUUUUUUAUUAUUAUUCUAUAAUUUCUUAAUCGUGCUGUAGGUCCGACGAAACAGGGUCGAGUAUGCGGUUAUUCCGAAGUCCCCCUGCUCUGCCCAGCCACGUGGGCGGUGCUAGAGCGCAAGGAAAAGAAAAGUGAAUCCAGCGCGAUUCUCGAUUCUCGCAGGUGCGCGUUACGGUGUUUCUGACAAGCGUCCACUCAGCGCUGGACAAAUGUGAGAGUGAAUGCCCCCCUCCCAAAGUGGCCAGGACUUUUCUGAGUGCCGGUAAGGUCUGCAGUUAAAGGUGAGAGCAAAGGAAGCACGAGGUGAGCCUGGGAUGUCUGCACCCGCCUGAACACAAGGAGCUGUCCCAGCAGUGAUGGGGACGCGUCCAGAGGGCGCCAAACAGUGUGAAGGAGCUCCCUUUGGCCCACUCGGAAACACUCUGAGCAUCAAAAGGAAAUGGGGGUAAUAACGUUGCAACCCGUUAAGUAAAAAGAUGCUGGCCUGCACCUAUUUAUGAGGAGGCAUUGGGGUGACCUGGACUGACAGACAUUCUACAAAACAGGCCCCCUGUAACCUUCCAAAAUGUCAGGAUCAUGAAAAUCAAAGAAAAGUUUGAAGAACUGUUCCCCACCGGCAGGGGCCACAGGGAUCACUAUAAGCAACACGAGGUCCCCAACUGGAUCCUUCGCUGUGAAAGACAAUAUGGAGACAUCUGUGGCGACCAUUAGGUGUGUCACUGAAAUUCUCAUCAGCUGAAUUUCUUACUCCUUUUUAAAAAUCUGAAGUAUGAGAUAAGAGGCCACGUCUAACCACUUCGCUUGAAAAUUCUGCCUAAAAACUUGGUCACAGAGGAAGAUGCUGCCUGACUUUAUGAAAUAGUCUAGUUCUCCCUGGAAGGAGGUGGAAAGCUACUUUACAGAAAAGCUAUUUCCCUGAGACACGGACCUUCAGUAACUCUCUGACAGUGAGCUUGGUGUGCUCACCUCGUUCUGUGAAGGUGCCUUGAGCAGGGAUCACAAGCUUCCAGGCAGGUGUGAGCUCACUGGCACCCUCCCUGCACUUCAGGGCUCCUCACAUGGAGGCCACCUUUGAUGCUGAUGCCAGCCGCACCCGUGACAUCUCUGUUGUGGACAAGAGAACAGGAAAGGGGAAGAAGACUGCUGUCGCAGAGACAAGGGCCACUUGGACAAGGAAGACAGUGAGCGUGCGGCUGGGGAAGCUGGAAGGCUUGGAGCCAGAGAUGAGGAGUAGAGGAGCAGGCAUCGAGCAGGAAUUGCUUAAGUCAUAUUCAUUCAACACGAAGCCAAUAACGGAAGAUGAGAAACUUCAACGCAAGAGCAGCAAUGAGGAAAAACAGUCAAUUUUCAGAUUUUUACGGAUAAUAUUGUUCUACUACAUGCAACAUAUUGUUCUGACUGUACAAGCGCUAGGACCCAAAUUCCAUCCCCAGUACCAGAAAAACAAAACAAAACAUAUCGUUCUGAAAUACACCUACAUUGUGAAAUGCCACAUCUAGUUAACUAACAUUUGAUUACCUCGUGUGGUUGAUCAUUUGUCAUCUCCUCUCUUGGCAUUCUUCAAGAAUGUAAUAUGAAAUAUUUAAAAAACCAAUAGGAAAUAGGGGGAAUGAAAAGAAUUAAGAUAUGGGCCGGGGAUUUAGCUCAGUGGUUUCGCCGCCUGCUGUGCAAGCGCAAGGACCUGAGUUCAAUCCCCAGUACCAAAAAAAAAAAAAAGGAAAAGAAUUAAGACGUGUUAUGUAUAUGUACCAACUCUCCAAGAAUAAAUGCUGCCUACAUGAUACUCACUUAGUACUCACUUGGUACAGUCCUUGCCAGGCGUGCACAAAGCUUUGGAUUUGGAAUCCAGUUCCACAAAAAC